rnacentral:rRNA from 1 species
GAUGAACGCUAGCGGCAGGCCUAAUACAUGCAAGACGAACGGUAAGUUGAGUAGCAAUACUUAGCCAAGAGUGUCGUACGGGUGCGUAACACGUAUGCAACCUACCCUAUACAGGAGGAUAGCCUAGGGAAACCUGGAUUAACCCUUCAUAGUAUUAUUGGAUGGCAUCAUUUGAUAAUUAAAACUGAGGUGGUAUAGGAUGGGCAUGCGUCUGAUUAGUUAGUUGGCGGGGUAAUGGCCCACCAAGACGAUGAUCAGUAGGGGUUCUGAGAGGAAGAUCAGCCACACUGGGACUGAGACACGGCCCAGACUCCUACGGGAGGCAGCAGUGGGGAAUAUUGGACAAUGGGGGCGAACCCUGAUCCAGCCAUGCCGCGUGAGUGAUGAAGGCCUUCGGGUUGUAAAGCUCUUUUGGUCGGGGGACGGAUGAUGGACGGUACCCGCGAGAAUAAGCCCCGGCUAACUUCGUGCCAGCAGCCGCGGUAAU